GUCAUCUGCAAAUAAUAAAAUACAAUCCAUCUAAUUGUUAAAAAUAAUAUAAAAAACAAGCAACAUUUUUAUUUUUGUAAUAUAAUAGUAAUGCUUACGUCCCCUGCUACAUACAUACCUAUGUAUGUUUGCAAACAAUGAGCUUGUAUAUACAUACAAACAUGUGCAGGCGUUAAAAGGAAAAAAUUUGAUGAAAUACUCAUUAAUAUGUAUAUGCGUGCAUACAAAACUAUAAACUAUAUAAUUUACAAAACAGUGUAUAAGUAUAUGCGUGCAAGGUACAUAUGUACGAGUGAUAGUUCUUAUGUGGGGGGACGAAAACGAAAAAUUACCUUUGUAUCCAUAAUUUUACUGAAAUAUGUUGACAGUCAAUGCUACCUGGCCGAUAGUUAUUGCGCUAUUAAAUUCUUUUUCAUUCAUUUCAAAUGUCAAUAUCGAUAUUUCAUGCCGAUACCCAUCCCUACUUGGCAGAGCCAAAUUGGCACUGGUGGCACUAACUGAAUCAGAAUCAACCAAAAUUAAAAAAUAACCACAUUAUUUGUUAUUCAGUGAACAUUUUUCUUACGAAUACUCCAAUUAAGCGGACACCUCUCUUUGCCGAACAUUUGUAUGAACAAAUAUUAAUGAGGCGACCCCCGUUAUAAGAACACUCUUCUUGAGCGGGAAAAAAUUACUCGAUGGUUGCCAUCCACCCAGGAGAGUUUUCACCGUAUCCUUACAUAUCUUCCACUAUUAUUUCAAAAAAAUUUACUGCGUUGCCUUGGUUUAACCACUUUUGAAAUCCCUUGCCAUUUAUGGUGAAGACGCGAAAACGAUUUGAUGACAGACGCAGGUGACAAAUAAAUGAAUAUAGUUUUAUCCCAUAUACAAAAUUUUGAAAAUAAAUAUGUUUAUAUCAUUGCCGCCUGCGCGUGGCAGCCACUUUUAAAUAAUACCAGUCGCCUAUAAUUAACAAUAAAUAGUAAUAAUAGUUAGAAUAACUGUUAUUUAAUAAGUAAAAUGCAUUUAGUAUUAACUAUAUGAAUACUUUAUUUUUUUAUUACGUUUAUUUUGGGCAUGUAAACAGUAUUGGAGCCACUGCUGCGAGCCCUGCCGGUGAAGACGGCAGCUCUUGCUCUUUUUAAUUUUUUUGUAAAAAUAUACAUAUGUAGCAAAAGCCGCUCUAUCUUUAAAAAAUUCCCAGUCAAACUUAGAAGCUUGUGACUCCGUAAUUUCCAAGUUAACUGAAGCAUUUUGGUUGCUUUUACAUAUUUAAUUGUUAAUUUGUUUCGAUAAAAAUAAUAAUUUCAUUUAAUUAUUUUUGUUAGAAGCAAUUUCAGAUAUAGCUUAUUUAAGAUAAGAGACUAUUGCUUAAUAACAAGGAUAAUAUAGUAAGGCUGCGAUUAUCAGUCGAUUACCCACUAAUCGAUAAGUGUUAUACAUCCCUAGCUUUGAGUGAAGGAGAUACUUGAACUUCUUCAAUAAAAAGUAAAACUAUUGUUUGAUUUUUAAAAA